CCACCACCUAGCAUCGACUGGGGGUGAUCUUCCGACUUGAGAGAGGAUGAGGAGAGAGUCCCAUUGCAGAAAUGGGACUAAUAAUGCCUAAUUAUAGGCUUUACACACACACACACACACACACACACACACACACACACACACACACACUCCCCCUGGAGCAAGAGGCUGGAGUGCUGGGUCUCGUGACCCAGCCAUGUUUCCCCAGCUCAGAGGUCCUAUUACUGUCACUAAGGAGUUUCACCCAGCCUUAAGGCAGUUCAGAAAACCCCACCCAUUACUGAAAAAGCUAGAUAUUUCCCCACCUCCACAUGCUUGCACUGGGGAGCCCCUCCCAGACUUAUUUCCCCUCAUAACACCCAGCUGACUAAGGACAACCCAGCCCCACUGCAUCUGAGUCCACCUGCCUCCAAGCAGGCCACUUUCUACAUCUCUGGACAGCCCAUGAACGGGAAUGAUGGCACCUGCCAGCCUGAGCCCCCUGUGCCCACCGUCUGGGGUCCCACAGGCUGCCCCACCUGUGUGCUGUUUUCCUCAGCACCUCCCCCUCGCUGUCCCUCCUCCGUUUCUCCAUGGCACUCAUGAAGUUCUCCUUCUGAACUGUUUCCCAGGUCCCCUGGCUACACCUGGCCAAGCCUGCCAGGCAGCACAGGCUGAGGUUGCCAUCCUGACUCCUGAUUCCAUCCCUGUCUUCUCCAGGCUGUGUGCUGGGGCAUGACUGUCGUGACAAAUUCCUGCCUUGCGAUCCCAGUGAGUUAUUCUGAUUGGUCAACCCACGGGUGAGUAAUGGAGUGUUGUAUUGUAUGGAGGGGUGCGUCAGCCAUCUGAGAGUGCCAGAUCCCAUCCUGUCCCGUCCAAGGCUGCAUUAGCAGCCACCCCCGCCCCCCAGCCUAUGAAUCUGCUCCUAAUGUUGUUCCCCCACUCUCUUCUCUCCUCUUGGUGCCCCAGAUGGGUGGCCAAGCCCUCCUUUGUGAAGCCGUAAAUCUACACCUGCCUGAGGUCUGAGAAGGCCCACACGGCCUAGUUGAAUGCAAAUUUGGCCCUGGAGCCCAGAGCUCGGUGGAAGGACGGGCAAGUGUGGUGUGGAGGGAAUGGAAGGGGAGGGAAAGGAAGUGAAGAGAAGGACUUCCGUGUCUCUUUACUCCAAAAACUGGGCCAGAAUUACCCAGGCCUUAGUUUCCCUCUGAGCACAGGCAUGUUAGAGAAUACCAGUCCGCUGUCAGCACAGUAGACACAGUGUGAGGGGAAGGGCACUGACGAACCUAGUGAGGGGGUUGGCAAGACUGUUCCAUGACUCGCUAGGCCUGCCACAUCCCCAGUGGUUCUGCUGACCCUGCAGUGGCCUCCGUGCCUAGACUGAGGACUUUCUAUCCCACUGCCCUUCUAGGCUGCCAGUGGCCUGAACCUCUUCCCCAAUGCCUGUGGAAGAGAGACCAGAGUUAUAGCUACUAGGGAACUGAGACCCCAGAGCUGCUGGGCUGAGACAUUCAACUUCCUCUUCCUGCCCCCAGGGAUUGGGGCCAUGAGGCCAUAUGGUGAGGGGGGAGGGAAGAGGCAGGCAAUAUCUGCUUAAGCUAAUGGCCUAGAAAAGCGAUGUCUCAGGUUGAGCAAACACCGAAGGCACUGGGGUGGGGAGAAAAAAACAACCUAGGGUAUGGCUUGGAAACACCCCAAUUAGAAGUUAAUUUCCAGCCCUUCUGUUCCUGGAGGCCUGGACUUGCUCCAGUCUUACUGUCCUCUAUUGACAAAUAUUCAUUGAGCGUCAUGAUUGCUGACCUGGCCUCAUUAUUGGCCUCCCCCAGGAUGGCUAGGGUCAGGUCUCUACUGACUAUCCAAGCUGCAUGGCCCCACAGUUGGAUAACCCUAAAUCCCUUGACACUAGCAUGAACACUGACCCUUAUGCCUCAAUCUGCACCCCAUCUCUAAGCCUGUGCAUGCUCAAUAGUGCCAUGUGGAGCUGCUGUCCUGAGCCCCGACUCUCUAGGCCCCUUUAUCUGUCUGAUGAGCCGGAUCCCUCUGUUUGCCCAAUCUUAGCCAUCUUAGGUCUUCACAGGUCCCCAUUCUGGCUCCAGGUUUUUCAUUCCUCCACCACCCACAGGCCCCCUGCUGUAAGUUCCCAGCUGCACCCACUUGUCAUGCAGUCCUAGGAUCUCCAUCAGCCCUAGACAGGUGCAGGGCCUAGCUUGAGGGGACACCCAUGAUUAUAGAUAAGCCACACACCAUUGACACCAACAGGCAACACACACAAGUUGGAUGGAUCCUUAAUGAAAGCAAGGUCCAGUUGGAAAUGGUGAGCAGAUGGACCACAGGGAAACUGCAGCCAGGUGAAGAAGCAACGUGGAAUAGCCAGGGUGGCCUGGGUUCUUCAUGCUGUGCUCGUAGUGUCUGCCCGUCCUCUGCCCCUCACAAGACCCCCUCAAGGGCCAGCCCAGCCCUAGACCCCCUCAGACAGAAAUCCAGCUCUGGCUAUUUGGCAUCUCUAUGGCCUACUUUCCAGUCAGGGGAAAGAUGAGGGCUCCAUGGCCACUUGUGUCUUGCCCUGCUUCUGGAUCCCAGCCUGUGGCCUAGACUUAGGAUGUCAUUGUCUCAGGCAUUUCCAGCCAGGGCCUUGGUGACACAGAAAUGAGACCACAUAUCCUGGAGCCCACCAGCCCACCAGCCCACCUUCCUGGCUCAACACAAACCAUCAAUCUCGUCCAGAGGGAUUUGCCCAAAGAUCUGCAGGUAAGGCCGGUAGAGCACACGGCGGAAAAUCCACUCCAGACGGCCAUCGUGGGGGUGCAGCAGGGCCUGAGUCGUCACACCGUAGGCCACAAGCCACACGCUCAGGAAAAAGAGGAAGAAGAAGACAUCCUUCAUCUGCAGGGGGAUGAGGGUCACAGUCACGGAUGGACUGGAUGGGAACUCACCUCAAGGAGUCAGAGGGGCUCAUUUUCCUCCGUAUGGGAGUCCAGAGAGCUUACCCUCACCUAGGGCUGGAGUUCCUGGGUUCUCACCUCAGCCAAGGAUUAGGGUGUCAGGGUUCUCACCACCACCUUGGUUGGGGUUUCAGUACUUACCCCCAUCCAGGGUUGAAAGUCCCAGGAUUCUCACCACUACCAGGGUUGGGAUAUCACAGGGCUCAUCACCACUCAAGGUCAAGGUCCAAGGGGGCUCACCCCUAACAUAAGUUAGGGUUCUGGGGGCUCACCUCCACCCAGGGCUAGGGUCCUAUCUACCCAAACCUGGAGGUAUAGGGGUCACCCCUUUAGUUGGACACAGUGGUAGCUCACUCUCAUCCAGAGUUAAAGUCCAGGGCCCUUACCAUUCGAGUCAGUGUUCUUUUGGGCUCCUCAGCUAUCCAGAACUGGGGUCCCAGGGGACUCACCCUCAAUAGGUUUAGGGUCCCGAGGACUCACCAUCCACUGGGUCAAAAUGCCCCAUCUAUCCAAGGCUGGGGGCCCAGUGCCUCACCCCCCUCAGGGGUCAGGGUCCCACAGACCCACCAUCCGCUCUACAAUGAUGAUCUUAGGACCCAGCUGCUUGUGAAUGGCAAAGAUGUGGAUGAGCCGAAGUGUGAACACCAUGAAAUCAAUGGCCAGAACAGUGCGUCCAGCCUCAAACACCGAGGGCAGCAUCCUGGAGAGAGACAAAGGCUGGGUAGGGCUGUUGGUACCCACAGAGGGCCAGAGGCUUUCCCCAAGACACAGUAUGCUAGCUAAAUGGCCAAAAGGCAGGUUCCAGGACCAUGCUAGGAUUUCAGAGAGCUGAGUGGGUCCCCUAGGGCCUGCCCACCAGCCCGUCUGAGGCUACAGACCUACAGGUGACACCAACAAUGAACAGGAAGAUGGCCACCAUGUCACACUUGUUCCAGUUGUCCUCUACAUACAGAGUGAACUUCUUCACCAAGUGUGUGUCCUCAUCUGUAAAGAAGCCCUGACAGAGGGAGGAAGUCUGGUUAUAGCAGCCAGGUCCACCUUGCUGAGACCAGGGUAGAAUCUGCAUGUGUCAGGGCUCAGUUUGUCAAGCUGAUCAGAACUAAUUGGUGACUAGGACCCCGUGUAUGGCUAGGACUGGGAGUAUCAGUUGAAGAGAUUUCAGGACUAAGUCUGGGACAAAAAGUGAGGUCAAGCUGAAUCUGGAGUCAGGACUGUCUGUGACUAAAACUCAGGGUCAAUUUACAUUGCAUGUCUGGACUUAGCCAGUGACUCAGGUCAGGGUUCAGACUCUGACUAGGGAAUCAUGAUCAUGACCAAGCUGGAACAGGGAUUGAAGCUCAGGAUGGAGCUGAAAUCAGCUCUGUUUGUGAUCGUGAUCAGGGCUCUGACUGUGACCAACAUCAAGACUCUGUGAUGACCCUUGAUCAAGAUAAGGGCUUGGUCUGGAGCUGGGAUUGGGGCUCAGUCUGUGACCAGGGCCAUGAUGCAGUAGACUGGGUUGACAAGAAGGCCACACAGUGGUCUUGUUCUAUAGAUGAAAAGUCUUAGCCCCCCCGCCUUCCAGAGCAGGCCCCACCUGGAGCUACAUCUAACAUAGCCUGAGCUGCAGAGCCCAGGAGUAGGCCAUGCUGUCCACUGACCUGUCGGAUUUCCUCCAGGACCAGUGUGAACACCCAGAAAUAGAGGGUAACCUCAGACCCAGAUGGCCCCUGGGGAGGUGGCUUGAAGUCUACCAGCAGGACAUAGGUGAACAGGAAGAGGAAUGCAAAGUACAUGACCACAUUCCCCAGGAACACAGUCACAGGAGCUCCCCAGAACUUCCUCCACCGUGUGAGCAGGAAGGCGGCCUGUGGGCCUAGAUCGCCUGGAGCCCUUGGUGUCUCUGUCAGCUUCUCCAAUCUGUGUGGGUAUGGAGGAGGUCACCAUGGUGAAGAGGCACCUAACCACGGUACCCGCAAGGGAGCCUGCCUCUGUCUACCUGUGUCUAUCCACUGGCCACUGCUGAGUGGUAGUCCUUACUCUCUCCAUCCUUCCCAGCCUCCUCCAUUCUUUUUAAACUUCAUGCUCCCCAGCCUUCUCUAUCAUUCUGGGCCUCACUCUGUCCCUUCUAUAGUCCCCUCCAUUUUUCCUACCCUCUGUCUUUCUGGGCCCAUUCUGUCUUCCCCACUUUCCUUGCUCCUCCUAUCUUUCCUCACUCCAUCCUUCCUGGCCCCCUCUAUGCAUUUCACCACCCUGCCACCCCUUACUGGCCGCCCUGGUUGCACAGGAAGCUCUUUUCCACAUCCAAGCUGUCCAGCUCCUGCAGAUCUUCCAGGUCCAUCCUCUGCGGGACAUCCUCACUGCAACACAGGGAAGGAUAGCCGAAGCACACAGAGAAGGAAGUACUAGGCCCACCGAGAAGAAGGAGGACUCACAUAGUCAACUGGACAUUGGGCUAUGAGAAGUGGGAACAGUGAGAGACUCUGGCACCUGCAUAAACCAACCUGAAGGUGAUGAGGUUGGUAUAGAUGAGCGCUGGGCAGGUGAAGGCACCCAGCAGCCGUAGGAUGGGCGUGCCUGUGGCCAUGUCUCCCCACCAGAUCUUGGUCAGGAAUGCCUAGAAUAAAGUCACAUGUUCCAGAUGCCUAUCACUCCUGAUCCUCCUGUUUCCACCUCCCUAGUGAUGGGAUUGUUGUCACGGACCACUGCAGCUGAUUUAUUCAGUUCUGGGGAUUGAACCCAGGGCUUCAUGCAUGCUGUACACUCUAUUAAAUGAGCCACUAUUGUAACCUUUCAGGAACAGAAUUAGGGGUUGGGGUUAAGGACAACCAAACUGAGAACAGGUGUUGCUGGGUCUAAGAACCAAGCUAGAAAAGCAUCCCUGAUGAAGGAAGCUGGAACCCAGCCACUCUUCCUGGUCCCUCCCCUAUGUAGCUUGGGCAUGGGCUGGAAGCUGUAGACUGGGACAUUAUUAGCUGAGAUACCUCAGUGUCCUGGGUGGGUAACCUGGACCCUGCCAACCCUUCUUAUCCUCAAGCCAUCCAUCCUUAGGCCGAUCAGCCACUCACUUGCACACCAUCAUGGGCAAAGAAGGCCUUGGCAUCAGCUUCAGUGGCCAGGUGCAAGCAAGUGGUCCUGCUCCAGCUGUGGUUCCUGCGCACCAGCAGGGCAAAGGCACGGUCCUCACUGUUGCUGUAGCACUCAGAGAAAAGAUCUGUGCACGAAGCCAGCUGCUAGGAUGGGGUGCUGAAGCCUGGUUCCUGGGUCCCCGUCCUCUGCAGCAUACAUCCUGCAUCUGCUUUCUAAGGUCCAGCCAGGCCUCCCAUGCUACAGGGCCCCUGAGAGUUCCUGCCUGGCCCCAGGGCCCUUCCCAACCUCUGACCUUCUCUGGCCCUUCCCCUUCCCUCUUAGUACUGUGAAGGCCUCAAUUGACACAAAGGGCUUCCACUCUGUGGUAGGGACCAGUACAUGACUAUCAUGUACUGUAACAUCUCCACCUCCCUGUAGGACUUUUUGACUAACCUCCACCCCCAGAAGGAACUGCCCUGAGUUCUGCUCUACACUGGAGGCCAUGGGGGUCACCCUGAGCCACUUGCUGAAGACAGCUAAUCCCUUGUCUACAGGGGAGCAGGAACAGAGACCUUCGACCUGUCACUUACCCAGGGCCAGCUGUUCAUACUUGGCCUCACGCAUGGUGCGGGCCACCUCCGCUUCUUUCUCCAGGAUGUCAAGGGAGCUGUGGACUGAGGUGGCUGCUCACCAUGGCCCAGAAGUAUGUGGCCAUCUCAUAACGGUUCUGUAGCACAGCC